CCAGAGGGCGUCGUUGGCGCAACGGGAUCUCUGACACGAAUGAAGAGGAUAGUAUCGUACAAAUCUGUGCGUCGUUGAAAGAAUGUAGGAAUCUGCGCUCUGACUUCGUCCACGACUUUCAAAUCUGUAAAAGAAACAUUAAGAAAAUUAAGUAUCCCAGAAAUCGAGCACCCAAUAUUGUUUAAUCACUAUUUAGCUUAAUUGCAUAUUUGGAAUUGCUCUCGUUAUCAAAGGAUUAAGGCAAUUACCUAUAUCAGCGACUACCAUGCUCUCUUGAGUUUCCAGAUCGUGAAGAACCUCCCCCCAAGGGUUGGUUAAUUGCGUAUGGCCAUAUGCGACGUAACCAGCUGAAGGUACACGAGCCGGUGAUAUACAAGCGACGUAUAAUUGAUUGUCAUUUGAUCUGGAACGCUGAAGCAACGACCAGUGCAUUGGUCCAGUGGUCAUAUUGAAUGCCGCUGGAUAUAUUAGCAUCUGGCAACCUGACCCAGAGAGACAGGAAAUAUGAUGGAAUUCGAAUAUCAAUUAUAAGUCCCUUCACUUCGAACAUCGUUAACGAAUUACCAGCACUGAGUGAAUCACUUUCACGAAACGUAAUUUUGUUAGGAAUGUCAAUAUCAAAUAAAUGCACCUAUCGUAAUAAAAGAAGUGGUUAUAAUAGUAUGUUGAGGUCAUUACAGAUUAAAAGGAAACUUUACUUUUCUGUGCUUCGUUAUCAAAGUUCCAUUAGGUCCCCAUAUAGUACAGCUUCCGACAAUGCGACACUUGUUUCGCCAUCAGGAAUGCUUUCAGCAUACUUUGGAAAGUGUUCUGUAUAAAUGUAUGUAUAUUUAAAUAUGACUUAAAUUCUUUAUUAAACGCAAAAAUGAUUAUUAUUUUUCACUUGCGAAUAAGUUAACUUAUAGAUUGCAAAGCGAUAGAAAUGGAAACAUAAAAUUGAAUUAUCAUUAUUGUGCUUUCAAAUCUGAGUAAUUUGAAUUUUCAAAGCACAACUUCCGGCGCGUUCGAUGACUUCAGUAGUAUUAUUUGAAGCGCGAACAAGAUAAGUAAUUUACUGUGGAAGUAAAGUUUUAAUUGUUAAAUUAUUAAUAAAUAGCGAGUUAUGCUUGUUUCAUUAUCAUGUUUUGUAUAUAAUAAAAAGCCCUUUUUUUAGAGAA